rnacentral:rRNA from 1 species
CCCNCUGAACCUGCGGAAGGAUCAUU